GAGACCUCAGGUCAGGCGGGGCUACCCGCUGAA
rnacentral:rRNA from 3 species